GUUAAGCAGAAUUCCUGACCUAACAAAAAUUUCUGUGUGGAAAAGGCAAAGUGGAACAAUAUCAAGAAGGCAGAUUGAGGAUCCCUCAGCUUAUCUUCCUGAUGAUUAAAAGACUUUUGGGAGAUAGGGCUUCCAAUCUGCAUGGAGGAAUGAAACAUUUAACAGGGGUCUCCCUGGACUGAAAGGAAUGACAUUAAGACCUCUAAGUCUGCACUGAAAUUAUGUGCUGGUGUAACAGAGAUGAGAUAUCAGAUGAAGUCACUUCUGUUCAAGUGCUUUUACUAGAAAACUGACAGUGAUCUGAAUUAUGGUAGUGCAGUCUAUGAAGAAAGAAUUCAAAGAGGAAAUCAAAAUCACUUUGGCACUUCUGGGUCAAAAGCCAAGUGUUAUAUUCUACUGGAAAAGUUAUCAGAAGUUCACAUGCUACUUGCAAUACCAGUGCUAUCGGUGUCAGAGACCUCUCACCAAGAAGCCAGAUUCACUCUACACUAACUAGAAAUUCCAAACAAUUUCAGUCUUUGUGGUAUAGACAAAAUCUGUUUCUGUAUAAGGUAUGAAUACAUUUUAAAAAAGGGUAAACAUGAUUUUUAUAAAGCACUAUGCUCUAGCAACUAUUUUAGCACA